GUCUUUUAAUUGGAGGCUGAAACGAAAGGUUUGAUCAAAAAAAUACUUUCUUUAUUUUAUACGAAAAAAUUAAUUUUUUAGUUAAAAAGCUAAAAUAAAUUUAUAGGACGAGAAGACCCUAUAGAACUUUAUUUAUUAUUUUUUUUAUCUAUUUUUGUAAUAAUUUUGGUUAAAGAAAAAAUUAAAUUUUGUUGGGGUGACAGAAAAAAUUAAAUAACUUUUUCUCUUUAAAAUCAUAUAUUUAUGACUGAUUGAUCCUUAUUUUUGGAAAAAAGAUCAAGUUACCUUAGGGAUAACAGCGUUAUUGUUUCGGAGAGUUCUUAUCGAUGAAUCAGUUUGCGACCUCGAUGUUGGAUUAUAAUAAGAUAUAGGAGUAGAAUAUUAUAUUCUAGGUCUGUUCGACCUUUAAUUUUUUACA
rnacentral:rRNA from 1 species